UGUGGAGUUUAUCCCUACAGCUCCAGCCUGCUGUUCUGCUCAGAUGUGUGAAGGGUGUAAAAUCACUACCUGCGUUGGAAUGGUUUUGACCCCAUUGCUUCGGUGGGAGGGAGGACUGAAAGCUGAGGCCAAAACUGAGACAGACAUGGACAGAUGAGAUGAGACGGUGGAUGGUCCCAACUGGAAAACCAAUCAGAGUUCAACAGACUAAAAGAGAAACGAGGAGGAAAUAUUCAAACACACACUGUAAAAACGAUAACUAGUAGUUGUUGAUUUGAUUAAAGUUUUCAAAUUAAACUGACUUAGAAAUAAAACUUUCCAUUUACAACCUAAAAAAGCUUGUCUGCCCAACAAAUUUCUUCCAUUGUUGUCCUAACUAAGAUUUUCUAGUGAGCAUAACAAAGAUUAUCAAAUUUUGAGUAGAUUUUUUGAGUCGAGUUGGGAACCAGUGGGAAACCCCGUAGAUGACUGGCACACGUGGUCUGAACAAGUUUGAACUAGACCAAACGAGCCUGAGCAGACUGUGUGACAGUGGUUUGUCGAUGUGUUCUGGACUGAAAACCUGCUAAGAAACUUUGAACAAACGUGGCCAACGUUGGAUGAAAAUUACAAUUUUUCGACCAUUAUGGAUUUUACCUGGUCUGAAGUUGGAGUGUAUUAUUUGACCAUUUUUUGGACAAGUGCGGGAGCUGCCAACCAUUUCCCCUAGCAGGCGGAGAGAGGUCGUGGAGUGUCAGCCUAUGGUAUCUGAGGUCCAGGAGAGAUGACCUGCGCUGUUUUCCUCUGAGGAGAUAUCUGAAAAAUUUCAUCGGAUCACAAGAAAAGACCUCCUGGGGACCUUCAAUGCAUCCCUUGACAAAUUUGUGCCUGCCCUGCUGAAACUGUAAAGAAGAAGGGAGCUCUUGGUGAGGAGAUGGAAGACCUCCUGGAUAAACUUGAUGAACAGACAUCCAACAUUGUGUCCAACUUGCACUGAGAGGCCUGCCCAUUUUCCUGAAGAGAAGAUGCAACAGAGGUUUUCCUGAAGUGCUUAGACACUGACAUUUUGGAACCAGUGUUGAACGGUGCAUCAGGUGCCAUCCUCACCAUCCUACAAGAUGACGAUACGUCUGUGCGAGAACAUGCAGUUGGUUUGGAAGGGGACAUCGUGCUACAUAACAUUCCAGAUCUCUCUACUGCCCUGGCAUAGCUCUUUGGCCUUCUGUAUGCCCUCAACAUUGAUUAUCCAAAGCAGAUGAGUUUUACCUUUGAAGCAAUUGCCAUCUUAUUUUGACCUGGUCGGACAAUAUGAAGGCGAAGUGGAUAAAUCAUUAUUCGAAAUGUAAAUUUUAGUCAGAUGAAUCUGUAUUGUUGACAAUAUAUGGUGAAAAUUUGUCUUGUAGUAUUUUAAAAGAUUUGUUAUAGUGUUAGUUUACUCUUCAUUGAUGGUAACAUUUCUAAUAACUUUUAACUUCCAUAUUUCAUCAUAGUAAGCCCAUGUAAAAUGUCAAUGUCUGGGUACAUAGGCAAUCGUUUGUGGCACUACCCUAUUUAAUGUGCAAUAGUAAUGUUCAGCUUUUACAAGACGGUCAGCGUGUGUGUGUGCGUGAAUUAUUAAGUUGCUGGACACUUUUCUUUUUUGGUUCUGGACUCUAGGAUUUUUAACAUCUCUGCUGCUCAAAGCACCCAAAAGAAACUGGCAACACGUUUUUGUAUGUUUGUUAUUACUUUUCUUUCUUUCUUUCUUUCUUUCUUUCUUUUUUCUUUUUUUUUUUUUUUUUUU